GGCCGGUUAGCUCAGUUGGUUAGAGCGCAGUGCUUAUAACACCAAGGUUGCCGGUUCAAUCCCGACAUGGGCCA